GAUGAACGCUGGCGGCGUGCUUAACACAUGCAAGUCGAACGGAAAGGCCCAAGCUUGCUUGGGUACUCGAGUGGCGAACGGGUGAGUAACACGUGUGUGAUCUGCCCUGCACUCCGGGAUAAGCCUGGGAAACUGGGUCUAAUACCGGAUAUUACCACUUCGUGGACGUUGUGGUGGAUAGUUUUGUCGGUGUGGGAUGAGCGCGCGGCCUAUCAGCUUGUUGGUGGGGUGAUGGCCUACCAAGGCGUCGACGCGUAGCCGGCCUGAGAGGGUGUACGGCAGCAAUGGGACUGAGAUACGGGCCAGACAGCUGCGGGGGGCAGCGGUGGGGGAUAGUGAACAAUAGGCGGCAGCCUGAUGCGGCGAAGGAGGGUGGGGGAUUACGGACUUCGGGUUGUAAACGCCUUUCGCUAGGGACGAGGCGUUUUGUGACGGUACCUGGAGAAGAAGCACCGGCUAACUACGUG
rnacentral:rRNA from 1 species